CUAUAAAUAGAUCUUGUAGCUUAUAGAGUAAGCUGAGUUGUUCAGCUAAGCUUCUCAAUGAGAAUAAUAUUUUCUGUUUUUCUCCUUCAUUCAUUUUACUGAAGUUCAGUUGCUUAGUGAUUCCAUAACUGAGUUCUUCAACAUGGUAUCAAAGACAGCGGGUUUAGGUCUCAAUUCACCUAGCUUAUGAAAUCAAACUGUUCUUCGAAGAAGAAAAAAACUGGUACGAUUGAAGCAUUUUUGGGCCCAGCGAGUCCUGAAAUUGAACAAAUCUCCAAAAUUGAGUAAAAUUCUACAUUGUUGAGGAGAAAUCAAUUGUUUCUCUAUACAUUAACAUCACUUUUAGCUGAAUUGAAUCAAUGUGUGUGAAGGAAUGGAUCACAACAACGAUUCCACCAUUGGAGCCAUCGGUCAAUCUCAAACUCAGAAUUCGCAGUCGAGCUCAGAAAUUCAUCACAAUCAUUCUCUCUAUAUUCAUCCCUCAGAUACUCAAGGAAAUAUCAAGUGGGAAGGUGAUAGGGAUUGGUAAAAAAGAGUAAGGGCUCUACAUCUUAAAGCCUGACUAUGCACAUAAUGAAGAAAUCAUCUUAACUCUAUCCCAAAGUGAAUGUGCAUUGAUCAAGAAGCUAAAGCUUUCCUAAUAAAUUUUCAAGUCCAACAAUGUUCAUACCAGUCAUAAUAUGAGCAAGAACACUGAAUAUAGUAAUGGCUCCUUGUGGCAUAGAAGUUUAGGCCAUGCCUUCUUAAAAGUUCUGAAGAAUAUUGCAGGCUUAUAGGAUAUGCAUUUAACUGAUCAUGUA